AGGGUUUGAUUAUGGCUCAGGAUGAACGCUAGCUACAGGCUUAACACAUGCAAGUCGAGGGGCAGCAUGUCGGUUGCUUGCAACCGAUGAUGGCGACCGGCGCACGGGUGAGUAACGCGUAUCCAACCUACCCUUGUCCAUCGGAUAACCCGUCGAAAGGCGGCCUAACACGAUAUGCGGUUCACCGCAGGCAUCUAACGUGAACGAAAUGUGAAGGAGAAGGAUGGGGAUGCGUCUGAUUAGCUUGUUGGCGGGGUAACGGCCCACCAAGGCUACGAUCAGUAGGGGUUCUGAGAGGAAGGUCCCCCACAUUGGAACUGAGACACGGUCCAA
rnacentral:rRNA from 1 species